CUUCGAGCAAGUGACUUAGCCUGUUUGUACCUCUGGGACAUGGGGACAAUACAGCUACGUACCUCAUAAGUUUGUUUUAAUGAAUAAAUAAUGGUGAAAGAAGAGCUGAAAUUUACUGGAUCUUCCCUAGUAACAGAAGAGCAGAAACAUGGUUCUGGAGGCUGGAAGCGGGCCAUGUCCACAUCAGGCACUUGCAAAGAGCAAGGGGCAGCAGGAUGUUGGGACUGGCCAGACCUGCUCACGGAGGGCUGGGAACAACAGGUGACUGAGGAUGCAUCAGAAAGCUGAGAUUUGCAGUUCUCAAAUGAAGAAGCAGAAUUCACAGUGGGAAGUGGAGUGUUGGGUCAAACAUUGCUUUGGAAGUUAAACCCUCUAACGAAUUACCAGGAUUGGAAAGAGCUUCGGCCUGAAAGAUAGGAGAUCACAACCUUGUCUCAGCAUGCUAGGAACUUGCUAUUUGACUGUGAACAGUCAUGAAGUCCUUGCCUGCGCCUAUGUCCUGAAUGAACAAGCAACCUACAGAAUGGGAGAAAAUUUUUGCAAUCUACCCAUCUGACAGUGGGCUAAUAUCCAGAAUCUACAAAGAACUUAAACAAAUUUACAAGAAAAAAACAAACAACCUCAUCAAAAAGUGGGCAAAGGAUGUGACAGACACUUCUCAAAAGAAGACAUUUAUGCAGCCGACAGACACAUGAAAAAAUGCUCAUCAUCAGUGGUGCAGAGAAAUGCAAAUCAAACCACAAUGAGACACCAUCUCACACCAGUUAGCAUGGUGAUCAUUAAAAAGUCAGGAAACAACAGAUGCUGAGGAGGAUGUGGAGAAAUAGGAAUGCUUUUACACUCUUGGUGGGAGUAUAAACUAGUUCAACCAUAGUGGAAGACAGUGUGGCAAUUCCUCAAGGAUCUAGAACUAGAAAUACCAUUUGACCCAGUGAUCCCAUUCCUGGGUAUAUACCCAAAGGAUUAUAAAUCGUGCUACUAUAAAGACACAUGCACACGUAUGUUCACUGUGGCACUAUUCACAAUAGCAAAAACUUGUAACCAAACCAAAUGUCCACCAAUGAUAGACUAGAUUAAGAAAAUGUGGCA
rnacentral:lncRNA from 1 species